rnacentral:rRNA from 1 species
AGACUCCUACGGGAGGCAGCAGUGGGGAAUUUUGGACAAUGGGGGAAACCCUGAUCCAGCCAUCCCGCGUGUGCGAUGAAGGCCUUCGGGUUGUAAAGCACUUUUGGCAGGAAAGAAACGUCGCGGGUUAAUACCCCGCGGAACUGACGGUACCUGCAGAAUAAGCACCGGCUAACUACGUGCCAGCAGCCGCGGUAAUACGUAGGGUGCAAGCGUUAAUCGGAAUUACUGGGCGUAAAGCGUGCGCAGGCGGUUCGGAAAGAAAGAUGUGAAAUCCCAGAGCUUAACUUUGGAACUGCAUUUUUAACUACCGGGCUAGAGUGUGUCAGAGGGAGGUGGAAUUCCGCGUGUAGCAGUGAAAUGCGUAGAUAUGCGGAGGAACACCGAUGGCGAAGGCAGCCUCCUGGGAUAACACUGACGCUCAUGCACGAAAGCGUGGGGAGCAAACAGGAUUAGAUACCCUGGUAGUCCACGCCCUAAACGAUGUCAACUAGCUGUUGGGGUCUUCGGACCUUGGUAGCGCAGCUAACGCGUGAAGUUGACCGCCUGGGGAGUACGGUCGCAAGAUUAAAACUCAAAGGAAUUGACGGGGACCCGCACAAGCGGUGGAUGAUGUGGAUUAAUUCGAUGCAACGCGAAAAACCUUACCU